UGCGUUCAGCACGCGCUUGUCAAUUUCUUGCAGAACAGGGCUACGAAGUUAUCAAUGUCCAAGGUGGCAUGGAUGCCUUAGAAUAAGAAAAACUCCCUUUGAGACCAAAAUAAAAAAGUUUCAAGGGGAAUUUAUU
rnacentral:sRNA from 1 species